CCUACGGGAGGCAGCAGUAGGGAAUCUUCCACAAUGGGCGCAAGCCUGAUGGAGCAACGCCGCGUGGGUGAAGAAGGUCUUCGGAUCGUAAAAUCCUGUUGUUAGAGAAGAAAGGGCGUGAGAUUAACUGUUCACGUUUUGACGGUAUCUAACCAGAAAGCCACGGCUAACUACGUGCCAGCAGCCGCGGUAAUACGGAGGUGGCAAGCGUUAUCCGGAGUUAUUGGGCGUAAAGGGAACGCAGGCGGUCUGUUAAGUCGGAUGUGAAAGCCUUCGGCUUAACCGGGGUAGUGCAUUGGAAACUGGCAGACUUGAGUGCAGAAGAGGGGAGUGGAACUCCAGGUGUAGCGGUGAAAUGCGUAGAUAUAUGGAAGAACACCAGUGGCGAAGGCGGCUCUCUGGUCUGUGACUGACGCUGAGGUUCGAAAGCGUGGGUAGCAAACAGGAUUAGAUACCCGAGUAGUC
rnacentral:rRNA from 1 species